rnacentral:misc_RNA from 1 species
GAUGAAGAACGUAGCAAAAUGCGAUACUUGGUGUGAAUUGCAGAAUCCCGUGAACCAUCGAGUUUUUGAACGCAAGUUGCGCCCGAAGCCUUUUGGCCGAGAGCACGUCUGCCUGGGCAUCACGCAUCGCGUCGCCCCCCACAAAUUCUCCUCAGGGGAGCUUGUGUUUCGGGGGCGGAUACUGGUCUCCCGUGCUCAUGGCGCGGUUGGCCGAAAUAGGAGUCCCUUCGAUGGACGCACGAACUAGUGGUGGUCGUAAAAACCCACGUCUUUUGUUUCGUGCCGUUAGUCGCGAGGGAAGCUCUUCAAAAACCCCAGCGCGUCGUCUCUUGACGGCGCUUCGACCGCGACCCCAGGUCAGGCGGGACUACCCGCUGAGUUUAAGCAUAUCAAUAAGCGGAGGA